rnacentral:rRNA from 1 species
CUUAGGGUCGUAAAGCUCUUUCGCCUGUGAAGAUAAUGACGGUAGCAGGUAAAGAAACCCCGGCUAACUCCGUGCCAGCAGCCGCGGUAAUACGGAGGGGGUUAGCGUUGUUCGGAAUUACUGGGCGUAAAGCGCACGUAGGCGGACUAGUCAGUCAGAGGUGAAAUCCCAGGGCUCAACCCUGGAACUGCCUUUGAUACUGCUAGUCUUGAGUUCGAGAGAGGUAAGUGGAAUUCCGAGUGUAGAGGUGAAAUUCGUAGAUAUUCGGAGGAACACCAGUGGCGAAGGCGGCUUACUGGCUCGAUACUGACGCUGAGGUGCGAAAGUGUGGGGAGCAAACAGGAUUAGAUACCCUGGUAGUCCACACCGUAAACGAUGAAUGCCAGACGUCGGGUAGCAUGCUAUUCGGUGUCACACCUAACGGAUUAAGCAUUCCGCCUGGGGAGUACGGUCGCAAGAUUAAAACUCAAA